AUUGAACGCUGGCGGCAGGCUUAACACAUGCAAGUCGAGCGGGGGAAGGUAGCUUGCUACCGGACCUAGCGGCGGACGGGUGAGUAAUGCUUAGGAAUCUGCCUAUUAGUGGGGGACAACAUCUCGAAAGGGAUGCUAAUACCGCAUACGUCCUACGGGAGAAAGCAGGGGAUCUUCGGACCUUGCGCUAAUAGGUGAGCCUAAGUCGGAUUAGCUAGUUGGUGGGGUAAAGGCCUACCAAGGCGACGAUCUGUAGCGGGUCUGAGAGGAUGAACCGCCACACUGGGACUGAGACACGGACCAGACCCCUACGGGAGGCAGCAGGGGGGAAUAUUGGACAAUGGGGGGAACCCUGAUCCAGCCAUGCCGCGUGUGUGAAGAAGGCCUUAUGGUUGUAAAGCACUUUAAGCGAGGAGGAGGCUACUCUAGUUAAUACCUAGGGAUAGUGGACGUUACUCGCAGAAUAAGCACCGGCUAACUCUGUGCCAGCCGCCGCGGUAA
rnacentral:rRNA from 1 species